rnacentral:rRNA from 1 species
GGUUAAGCUAGUAAGAGCGCACGGAGGAUGCCUAGGCACCAGGAGCCGAAGAAGGACGUGGCGAACAACGAUACCGCCCCGGGGAGCCGUAAGCAGGCAUUGAUCCGAGGAUUUCCGAAUGGGGAAACCCAGCUGUCGUAAUGGACAGUUACUACUAAGUGAAUACAUAGCUUAGUAAGAGGCAUACCAGGGGAACUGAAACAUCUAAGUACCCUGAGGAAGAGAAAACAAUAGUGAUUCCGUCAGUAGCGGCGAGCGAACGCGGAUUAGCCCAAACCAAGGAGCUUGCUCCUUGGGGUUGUAGGACGUCUCACACGGAGUUACAAAGGUGUUUGGUAGGCGAAGAGGUCUGGAAAGGCCCGCCAGAGCAGGUAAAAGCCCUGUAACCGAAAGCAAGCACCCUCCGAGACGGAUCCUGAGUACGGCGGGACACGUGAAACCCCGUCGGAAUCCGGCAGGACCAUCUGCCAAGGCUAAAU